CUAGAAUCCCUGAAUAUUUGACAAUGUAUGCUUUCCCUCUACCAUAUGGCAUGAGUGAGACCAGGGUUGGAACAAUGAUCACUCAAUGUUCCAAGAUUCAUGUAAAAAGAAGUCUUUUGUUUUAAUCACUGAGAACUUCCGGAGAAAAGAAGAAAGUUCUUCAUGGAUCUGAUGCCUACAUGCUAUCUGCCUGGGUGCCACUGAAGCUCUGAAUUUUGCUUACCAGGAGAAGAUUAGGACACCUAGAGAGACACCAGGGGUUCCUUUGCACAGAAGAAAGGCCACAUGAAGAUGGGGACACAGCAAGAAGGCAGCAGCGGCAAGCAAAGGAGAGAGGCCUCUGAGGAAACCAACCCUGCCAAACACCUGCUGCUUGGACUUCUAGCGUCCAGAACUGUGGACUCUUAUCAAUACUGAAGGUUGAAAUCUGGAGGCUCAGCCAUCAGAACUCUUACACAGCACAGAAGAGGAGUUUCACGGGUCAGUCAGCAUCUACUGGAAGGAUGGAAAAAAUCAAGAAUUUGGCACCCUAAACACAACAUGAGAAGGUUUCACUCAGUAAUGGCCUCCUGAAAACAACUUAAUCUUCUUGGACAAGACUCUGAACUGAAAUCAAGGUUUCAAAAUAUUUUGCUGUGAGUGAUGAAGCUGUCUGGACCUAACUUUUCCGAGAGGCCAAGAAACCAUUCUGUAAUCCUGCAAAAUGGUUUCUGAAGAGUCUGGUGAAAUGCAACUGUUUUCCCUCACUUUGCAUUUUGCUCCAACGAUUCUGAGGUGCAACUUAGGAUGAGACGGAUUUCUUUCUAUAUUGCUGUAGUAAAUUGGUUUUUGUUGUUUUCAUGGGCUUUGUAAAUCUUGCUGAGUGCGAUUUGCUAACAUAAAAGCUAACUGGAGAAACAUAAAAAAAUAAUUCAAAAAUCAUUUCAUCUUAUUAAC